GUAGGGUGCGAGCGUUAAUCGGAAUUACUGGGCGUAAAGCGUGCGCAGGCGGUUAUGUAAGACAGAUGUGAAAUCCCCGGGCUCAACCUGGGAACUGCGUUUGUGACUGCAUAACUAGAGUACGGCAGAGGGAGGUGGAAUUCCGCGUGUAGCAGUGAAAUGCGUAGAGAUGCGGAGGAACACCGAUGGCGAAGGCAGCCUCCUGGGCCAGUACUGACGCUCAUGCACGAAAGCGUGGGGAGCAAAC
rnacentral:rRNA from 1 species